rnacentral:piRNA from 1 species
GAGAGUGCAUCUGUUGGUCACAGGUGAAA